AUUGAACGCUGGCGGCAUGCCUAACACAUGCAAGUCGAACGGCAGCAUGAGUGGAGCUUGCUCUACUUGAUGGCGAGUGGCGGACGGGUGAGUAAUAUGUAGGAAUCUACCUAGAGGAGCGGGAUAACUUAGGGAAACUUAAGCUAAUACCACAUAAUCCCCACGGGGGAAAGCAGGGGAUCUUCGGACCUUGCGCCUUAUGAUGAGCCUACAUCGGAUUAGCUAGUUGGUGGGGUAAAGGCCUACCAAGGCGACGAUCCGUAGCUGGUCUGAGAGGAUGACCAGCCACACUGGGACUGGGACACGGCCCGGACUCCUACGGGAAGCAGCAGUGGGGAAUCUUGCGCAAUGGACGAAGGUCUGACGCAGCGACGCCGCGUGGUUGACGAAGGCCUUCGGGUUGUAAAGCCCUGUGGGGUGAGACGAACAGCUGGGAUUCAAAUAGGGUCUUGGUCUGACGGUAUCAUCUUAGCAAGCACCGGCUAACUCUGUGCCAGCAGCCGCCGUAAAAC
rnacentral:rRNA from 1 species